GAAAAAAAGAAAAAUCAUUUGAAGUUAUCCCCAAAACGACAUAGCAGAAAACCAUUACCUUUCGCUCUCCUCCUUUUACUCACCCUUCAUCAGCAAGUAUUCAAUUCCACUGAAAGCUCCACUGUUCAGACAGCCAUAGACCCACUCCGAUCAUACCAACACUCAACACAGAUGCCAUACCCACAAAGGCCUAAUUCUCGUUGUCUUGUGAAGUGUCGACAUUCCAGCUCUCUCGCAUAAGCACAUGUGGAAAGCAUCUCCACCAGCUCGCUCCUCCUCUUCGACACCUGCAGAACCCACGCAAUACCCCUCCUCUUCAAGCUGCUUGCUAGUGUGGAUCUCCAGCAUAGGAAUGGAGACAGAGAAAAGUGAGAAGGAUACAGUGGUAACUCAAGUUAGUAUUGGUGGAUUUGACAUUCAUGUCAAGGCAAAAGAUCUUGUGGCGUAUUUGGAAAAUAAGAUUGGACUUGUUUGGCGGUGUAGACUGAAGACCUCUUGGACCCCCCCAGAGUCCUAUCCAUAUUUUGAGGCAUCUAACACUGCAGACUUCCAAAGAACAGAGAGGUAUAGUAGGAUAGAGCCUCAUGCAUUUGUGCAUUUUGCCUCACCUGAAUCAACUACCUGGGCUAAAGAUGCUGCAGGGCGCUGUGAGCUUUUCUUGAAUGACAGACCUUUGAAAGUUAGUCUGGGGCCUGAAAAUCCAUUUCACAUGAAUCAGAGGAGGAGAACGACAACUCCCUUUAAAUUAUCUGAUGUGGGUAUUGAGAUUGGAACUGUUAAUCAUAAUGAAUUCUUGGUUGGUUGGAGAGGACCUUCUGGGGUUGAUUUUCUUGUGGAUCCUUUUGAUGGGACAUGCAAGUUUUGUUUCACAAGGGAUACUGCCUUCUCCUUGAAAGACACAACUGAGUAUGCAGUGAUUAGAUGUGACUUUAAAUUGGAGUUCCUGGUGAGAGACAUCAAUGAGGUGAAACAAUACACAGAUCGGAGCACUUCAACCCUAGGGAUCCUUUUGCAGCUGGCUUCUGCACCUUCUGUCUGGUAUAGAACUGCUGACGAUGACAUUGAAGUGUCAGUUCCCUUUGAUUUGUUGGAUGACGAUGAUCCUUGGAUCCGGACCACUGAUUUUACACCUAGUGGGGCCAUUGGUCGGUGUAAUUCAUAUCGAGUUUCAGUCCCCCCUCGCCAUGGUGCGAAGUUGAAUAGGGCGUUGAGCUAUCUAAGAGAACAAAGAGUGCAGGUGGAAUUCCUCAAAUUACCUCUUAAGAACUUGAAUGAACCAGAGUAUGGGAUGCCUGUGUCGGAUCCUUUCUUUUGUAUUCAUCACAAGGAAGGGAUAGCUUUUGAGGUAAUGUUCUUGGUGAAUUCUGUCAUGCAUAAAGGAAUAUUCAAUCAACAUCAAUUAUCUGACAGUUUCUUUGAUUUACUGAGAAACAGACCUCUGGACGUUAAUCUGGCAGCAUUGAAGCACAUUUGUUCUUAUAAACGCCCAGUGUUUGAUGCUCAUAAAUGUCUCAAAGCUGUCCAACAAUGGUUACUGAAAAACCCCAAACUUUUCAAGAGCCCUAAACAGCUGGAUGAUAUUGUAGAAAUUAGGCGGUUGGCUAUUACUCCUACCAGAGCAUAUUGCCUUCCACCUGAAGUAGAACUCUCCAAUAGAGUUUUGAGAAAAUAUAAAGACAUUGCCGACCGAUUUCUAAGAGUUACCUUUAUGGAUGAGGGCUUGCAGACAAUCAACGCAAACACUCUCACUUAUUAUGCUGCUCCUAUAGUAAAAGAUAUCACUUCUAACUCUUUCUCUCAGAAGACAAGAGUCUUCAAAAGGGUGAAGGGUAUUCUGACGGAUGGAUUUUAUUUAUGUGGUCGAAGGUACUCAUUUUUGGCCUUCUCAUCCAAUCAAUUGAGGGAUCGUUCUGCAUGGUUUUUUGCUGAAAAUGAGAAUAUUAGCGUUCAUCAAAUCAGAAACUGGAUGGGUAGGUUCACCAAUAAGAACAUUGCAAAAUGUGCUGCUAGGAUGGGCCAGUGUUUCUCCUCUACAUAUGCGACUGUUGAUGUUCCACUAGCAGAGGCUGAUCUUUCCGUUCCUGAUAUUGAAAGGAACGGUUAUACAUUUUCUGAUGGUAUUGGUAUUAUAACGCCAGAUCUUGCAAAGGAAGUUGCAGAAAAGUUGAAAUUGGAUGCUAAUCCACCAUGUGCUUACCAGAUUAGGUACGCAGGAUGUAAAGGGGUUGUGGCUUGCUGGCCAGCCCAGGGUGAUGGGAUUCGCCUGUCUUUGAGGCCCAGUAUGAACAAGUUCCUGUCAAACCACACCACCUUGGAAAUCUGCUCAUGGACCAGGUUUCAGCCUGGUUUUUUAAAUAGGCAGAUUAUUACCUUGCUUUCCACUUUGAAAGUUCAAGAUGAAAUAUUUUGGAAUAUGCAGAUUGCUAUGGUCUCCAAACUAGAUCAGAUGCUCAAGGAUGCCGAUGUAGCAUUUGAUGUUAUCACUGCAUCAUGCACUGAGCAAGGUAAUACUGCAGCAAUAAUGUUGAGUGCAGGUUUCAAGCCUCAAAAGGAACCUCACUUACGAGGCAUGCUAACUUGUAUAAGAGCUGCACAGCUUUGGGGCCUCAGGGAAAAGGCUAGAAUCUUUGUUCCCUCGGGUAGAUGGUUGAUGGGCUGCUUGGACGAGCUAGGGGUGCUUGAGCAAGGUCAGUGCUUUAUCCAAGUGUCUAACCCAUCUUUGGAAAACUGUUUCUCCAAGCAUGGCUCAAGGUUUAGUGAGACGAAGAAACAUCUACAAGUAAUCAAGGGGACUGUGGUGAUAGCUAAGAAUCCUUGUCUUCAUCCUGGAGAUAUAAGGAUCCUGGAAGCAGUUGAUGCUCCUGGACUACACCAUUUACAUGAUUGCCUUAUCUUCCCACAGAAAGGUGACAGGCCCCACACAAAUGAAGCUUCUGGAAGUGACCUUGAUGGAGAUCUGUACUUUGUGACAUGGGAUGAAAAUCUUAUUCCACCAAGUAAGAAGAGCUGGGCACCAAUGCAGUAUGAUGCUACCGAAGCCAAGGUCCUAAAUCGCGCUGUCAGUUAUCAGGAUAUUAUAGAUUUUUUUGCAAGGCAUAUGGUAAAUGAGAAUUUGGGGGCAAUCUGUAAUGCUCAUGUUGUUCAUGCUGACUUGAGUGAAUUUGGGGCUUUGUAUGAGAAUUGCAUAAAACUGGCAGAGUUAGCAGCCACAGCCGUUGACUUUCCAAAGACUGGGAAGCUUGUAACUAUGCCAGCUCAUUUGAAACCAAAAAUGUAUCCAGAUUUUAUGGGGAAGGAAGAUUAUCAGUCCUAUAAGUCAACCAAAAUUUUGGGAAGACUUUAUCGCCAGAUUAAAGAUGCUUAUGAUGAUAAUGUUGAGGCUGCAUCUUCAGAGCUCAUUGUUGUUCCUGGAGAUAUACCUUAUGAUAGGGAUCUCGAGGUUUUUGGAUCAUCUGAUUACAUUUUGGAUGCCUGGGAUCAAAAGUGCUCAUAUGAUGGGCAGCUGAAAGGUCUUCUUGGCCAGUAUAAAGUGAGAAGAGAAGAAGAGGUGGUAACUGGUCACAUUUGGUCCAUGCCAAAGUACAACAGCAGGAAGCAAGGGGAACUGAAAGAGAGGCUCAAGCAAUCUUACAGUGUGCUCAAGAAAGAAUUUAGGCAAGUUUUUGAGAAAUUGGAUUUGGAUUUUGAAGAACUACAAGAUGAUGAGAAAAACUUGCUGUAUGAGCGAAAGGCAUCAGCAUGGUACCAGGUUGCUUACCAUCCCAAAUGGAUAAAAAAGUCAAUGGAGUUGCAAGAGCCUGAUGCUGCUGCCAAUGCAGCAAUGUUGAGCUUUGCUUGGAUCGCAGCUGAUUACCUUGCUCGGAUUAAGAUUAGGUGCAGGGGAAUUGAAGGUGUUGAUACUGCUAAGCCUGUCAACUCACUGGUGAAGUACCUGGCUGAUCGGAUCUGACCAAUAUCUGAGCCCUUAUCUAUUGCAGCUACAUUAUGCUUCUUGGCUGCAAGACCACACUGCCAUUGUUAACAUUGCACAGCAUCGAGUCCCAACUCAAGAAUUAACUCGAUUCAAGCAUUCCAUGAGAUUGCUAAACUUUCAUGUGAGACCGUCCUUUCACCACAGAUUCAUGAAUCAUUGCUUAAGGCGGCAGAAGAAUUGCCAGUGUUAGUCAGUGCGGGUGCUGAAGAUGCCCUUGUCCCUCUCAAGUCCUCUCAAAUCACGGCUUCAGAACUUGAAAUUCUGCAAGUCUCUCCUCCAUUUCACAGCUUCAUGCAUUGUUGGAGUCUGUGUUGGAUCAAAGCAUCAUAGAUUGGCUGCCAUAUCCGGAUGUAGCCAUCUUCCACAUGAGGAAGAGUGCCCCAAGGGAUUACUUGCGGCUAUGUCGCCCUUCAUGAGCAGACUAUUGUUGAGAUCAGAUUUGGAAAACCAAUAGGAUACCCUUCUUUUUAACUUAUCAAUAGGCUUGUGUCUGUUCUAGGCGUUUUUCUUGCUUCACUUGUUUUUGUUGUUUACCUUACCUUUGCUGCCCAGCUCCCUUCUCUUUUUUCUUGUUCCUGUUUUUGUUUUUUCCCAAGCAAUUUACCCUGGCGGAAGAAAAAUACUCUCUCCUUUGGGGUAUUUUUGGUGUUCUCUAUUCUCAAGGCAUUGUCCAAGCCCUGAUUCCCUAGGGUUUUGUACGGCUUAUCACAUGUAUUUUUAAUAUAUUCUCCUUCAAAUUUUCCUUGUGAAGAUCCAAGUAAUUGAAAGCUUGCUGUUUCCCACUCA